ensembl:snoRNA
AUCCUUUUGUAGUUCAGAAGCGUGAGGAUUGGGUUUUCGGACUCACGUGUGAGAAGUGCCCCCUUCCUCAAACCUUGCUAUGAAGGCAGCACAUUAAGGCACAUUUUUUCUUAAA